rnacentral:lncRNA from 1 species
CAAGACUAGGCACAAUUGGGCUUUUUAGUCUUUACUCUGUUCCCGUUACACGACAACAAGCAAAGAGGGGCAGCUGUAAUAAGCCCAAUUGGCCCGGGCCCACACAAAACAAAGUAGGUAGUCUGUUUUUUUUUUGUAAUAACAGGCCUAAACCCAUCUAAGGCCCAAUUUUUACAAGCCCAACAAGCAGCCCAUAACAUUUUCAGCAGAA